GACGAACGCUGGCGGCGUGCUUAACACAUGCAAGUCGAACGGAAAGGCCCUGCUUGCCGGGUACUCGAGUGGCGAACGGGUGAGUAACACGUGGGUGAUCUGCCCUGCACUUCGGGAUAAGCUUGGGAAACUGGGUCUAAUACCGGAUAGGACCGCACUUUAGUGUGUGUGGUGGAAAGUUUUUUCGGUGUAGGAUGAGCUCGCGGCCUAUCAGCUUGUUGGUGGGGUAAUGGCCUACCAAGGCGGCGACGGGUAGCCGGCCUGAGAGGGUGUACGGCCACAUUGGGACUGAGAUACGGCCCAGACUCCGACGGGAGGCAGCAGUGGGGAAUAUUGCACAAUGGGCGCAAGCCUGAUGCAGCGACGCCGCGGGGGGGAUGAAGGCCUUCGGGUUGUAAACUCCUUUCGCUAGGGACGAAGCUUUUUGUGACGGUACCUAGAGAAGAAGCACCGGCUAACUACGUG
rnacentral:rRNA from 1 species